UACGGGGGGGGCAAGCGUUGUUCGGAAUUACUGGGCGUAAAGGGCUCGUAGGCGGCCAACUAAGUCAGACGUGAAAUCCCUCGGCUUAACCGGGGAACUGCGUCUGAUACUGGAUGGCUUGAGGUUGGGAGAGGGAUGCGGAAUUCCGGGUGGAGUGGUGAAAUGCGUAGAGAUCCGGAGGAACACCGAAGGCGAAGGCAGUGUCCUGGGGAGUACCUGACGCUCAGGUGCGAAAGCCAGGGGAGCGAACGGG
rnacentral:rRNA from 1 species